rnacentral:rRNA from 1 species
GAUGAACGCUAGCGGCAGGCCUAACACAUGCAAGUCGAGGGGUAGAACACUUCGGUGUUUGUGACCGGCGCACGGGUGCUUAACGCGUAUGCAAUCUACCUUAUACAGGGGAAUAGCCCCGAGAAAUUGGGAUUAAUGCCCCCUAGCAUUACGACUUGGCAACAAGAUUGUAUUAAAGUUACAACGGUAGAAGAGGAGCAUGCGUCCCAUUAGUUAGUUGGUAAGGUGACGGCUUACAAAGACGAUGAUGGGUAGAGGUCCUGAGAGGGAGAUCCCCCACACUGGUAGUGAGACACGGACCAGACACCUAAGGGAGGCAGCAGUGAGGAAUAUUGGUCAAUGGUCGCAAGACUGAACCAGCCAUGCCGCGUGCAGGAAGACGGUCCUAUGGAUUGUAAACUGCUUUUAUACAGGAAGAAACCCUCCCACGUGUGGGAGAUUGACGGUACUGUAGGAAUAAGGAUCGGCUAACUCCGUGCCAGCCGCCGCGGUAA